rnacentral:rRNA from 1 species
UACGAAGGGGACUAGCGUUGUUCGGAAUUACUGGGCGUAAAGCGCACGUAGGCGGAUUUGUAAGUCAGGGGUGAAAUCCCGGGGCUCAACCUCGGAACUGCCUUUGAUACUGCAAAUCUCGAGUCCGAUAGAGGUGGGUGGAAUUCCUAGUGUAGAGGUGAAAUUCGUAGAUAUUAGGAAGAACACCGGUGGCGAAGGCGGCCCACUGGAUCGGUACUGACGCUGAGGUGCGAAGGCGUGGGGAGCAAACAGG